UCUAUCCCCAUCCCCA
rnacentral:tRNA from 3 species